rnacentral:lncRNA from 1 species
GAGUUUGCUGGCUCCGUCUCCAGUUCCUUUUGUCUCUUCCCACAUCCCCUCACUCAAGGUCUCUGGGAGCCUGGGCCUUCAGAGACAGCCCUCAGAUCACCUGAGUCGCCCAAGGAUGGAGACCUCCCCCCCAUUUUCCAGAACAAUAAGGUUAGAUGCAGAAAGGCCUGGCCAUUCCCAGCCACCACCCCCCGACUCCUCCCCAGGUGUGGGUGCUGAGAGGUGGAGCCACAGCCAGGCCUCUCCCCAUUGGGCGGGCUCCACAGGUAACCUGAAGCUGUGCUGCCAGGUGCAUAAAUAAAGUGUGGGGCUAUGGUACCACCUCCUUGAAAGGGGCCGAGUUCUUCCUCAGCCUCGCCUUGGAAAAACCAGCUUCUCUCCCUUUCAUUGUCUGUUCCCAGCUCCUGUGCUGCAAGCUCAUCUGAGCCCCCCACACUCCAAACUCUCUCUUUCCGGGUCCUUGAACUCCCCUCUCUGCCAAUCCACUUUCCUCUGCCUUCGUACUCUUCACCAUUAAGGGAGAGGGGCUGUCCGGGACCAGCCCCCACCGCCCCGCAGGACCCACUUCUGUUCUGCACGGGCCUGCUCAGCUGAACUCCCUCUACGGCAAGGGCUUCUUGUUUCUUACUCGCUGUCCUCCAAUCUUCGGAAGGCAAGAGCAGUCCAAGGCUUGGAAUUCCUUUCCUUCUCUCGCAUGCACGAGUCUCCAGCCACCUCUUUGUUCUGAAUUCUCUCAUGAAAGUUCUUUCGAAACAAGCUCAAAGAAGGCCCUGCCCUCUGACGGUACAGACCCUGAUACCUCCAGACACGGUCGUCGCUGGAGUGUCCGUCUUGGAGGUUAAGGACCCCAGAGGUGGGUGAGGCUCUCUGCACGUGCCCGUUGAGGAUUUGAAGAAUCUGGUGGACUGUACCCAUUGGGAGGAUCUAUGGCCUCCCAUCAUCUCCUGGCAUCGCUUAUCAGCGCCAAACAGGUUGGGGAAGGAUGUGGGGCCACUAGAAAGUGGCCACCCGAGGUGGAUCCCUAGGAGCAACACCAAGGAGGCUUACCCUCCUCUGCCUACCCGGGGCCCAAAGAGCACGCCUGCCUCCGGCCAGGUGUUCUUCCCCCCAGUUCACACCCGCACACGGGCCGGCCGCGCAAAGCGCUGCUCAGGCUCUUUGGAGGGUGCGGGCUGGAGAGGAACUGCUCCGCCCCGCCUUCCAGGGCCCUGGUUCGAAGGCGCGGGAGACGCAUUUUCCCAAAGCGGAAAUCUCAGAACACCUGCCUCCCCAGCACGGGGGGAAGACGCCCAGCAGCCCAGCUGGGUAAAGGCAGAGACGUUUCCAUGCGGAUGUGGGUGGGAUGGUCCCUCAAGGGUGAGAAACAGCAGAGGUCCCAGCCGGGCAGCGCCGGCCCACCCCGCGGCCCCGUCUGUGCCGCAGACACAGGGAGGUUCCGGCGAGCUGGCUCUGGGCAGCUCCGGAGGGAAGUGGUCUCCGCCAGAGGGUGUGAGGACUCGGAUCUUCCCCAUUCCCCGCGACCGUGACUCCGAUCGUGGAGGCUUUCGGCCAGGCAACCAACGACCUGGUGUAUCGAGGCCAGGGUUGCCCCGUGGCCCAGACUCAGCACAAGACCUCGGAACAGUCCACGUGUUUCUCUUGUCCUUCAUUCCACCGGAGUCUGUCUCAUACCCAACCAGAUUUCAGUGGAGUGAAGCUCAGGAGGCGUGGAGCUGACACCGCAGCAGAAGCGGCGACAAGAAGAGCUCUGUGAUGCAUGCGGUCGCCCGCCGACUCCCGGGCCUUCGACGUCACCGCCCCUUUGGGUUACAAUGGAGACCUGAGCUCAACGACUGGCUCGGGUUCCCUCCCUACGUGGGUCCUCCAGGCAGGUGGCUGGAACUCUAUUCCCAAUCAGCAAGGAACCCUCUGCCCUGCCCCCCCCAGAGGACCCGCAGGACCUGCACAAGGGGGUUAAAAAACGACGAGGAUUUAAAAGAGCAUUUAUAUCGUAAUAAAAUAAAUGUAAAUAUGAUGGACGUGAAGGCA